rnacentral:rRNA from 1 species
GACGAACGCUGGCGGCGCGCCUAACACAUGCAAGUCGAACGAGCGAGCGAGAGCUUGCUUUCUCAAGCGAGUGGCGAACGGGUGAGUAACGCGUGAGGAACCUGCCUCACAGAGGGGGACAACAGUUGGAAACGACUGCUAAUACCGCAUAAGCUCACGACCCGGCAUCGGGUAGAGGGAAAAUGAGCAAUCCGCGUUGAGAUGGCCUCGCGUCCGAUUAGCUAGUUGGUGAGGUAACGGCCCACCAAGGCGACGAUCGGUAGCCGGACUGAGAGGUUGAACCGACACAUUGGGAGUGAGACACGGUCCAGACCACUACGGGAGGCAGCAGUGGGGGAUACUGCAAAAUCGCGGAAAUCAUGAUGCAGCGACGCCGGGUGGAGGAAGAAGGUCUUCAGAUAGUAAAGUCCUGUUGUUGCGGAAGAUACUGACGGUACUCAACAAGGAAGUGACGGCUAACUACGUG